rnacentral:rRNA from 1 species
AGAAUGAACGUUGGCGGCGUGGAUUAGGCAUGCAAGUCGUACGGGCCGCAAGGCCAGUGGCGUAAGGGUGAGUAAGGCGGAGGUAACCAACCCCAUGGCCGGGUAUAGCCGCGGGAAACUGCGGGUAAUCCCCGGCGACGUCCGGAGAGGGCAUCCUUUCCGGACCAAAGCUCCGGCGCCGUGGGACGGGCCUCCGUGGUAUUAGCUGGUUGGCGGGGUAACGGCCCACCAAGGCUAUGAUGCCUACCGGGCGUGCGAGCGUGGCCCGGCACAUUGGGACUGAGACACUGCCCAGACUCCUACGGGAGGCUGCAGUCGAGAAUCUUCGGCAAUGGGCGCAAGCCUGACCGAGCGACGCCGCGUGGAGGACGAAGGCCUUCGGGUUGUAAACUCCUGUCGAGGGGGAGAAGGCCCGCGAGGGCUUGACUGAUCCCUGGAGGAAGCACGGGCUAAGUCCGCGCCAGCAGCCGC